GGCCCUGUCGUCUAGUGGUUAGGACUCCACUCUUUCAAGGUGGCAACACGGGUUCAACUCCCGUCGGGGCUA
rnacentral:tRNA from 1 species